rnacentral:lncRNA from 1 species
CUCCGCUGCCACAUCACGUUCUUGUUUUUCAAGAAGCACCAUUGAUUUGAGAACUUCCAACUAACAACAGUGGAUCCGAAGUCAGAUUGUGAUCUUGUAAUUGAUUUAAACUAAGGAAACAAGGAACGUCAAUAAGCAUCAUGUGUUUAGUUUGUUACCCUGGAGCUAGACUGAAAAGGAGCAACUACAGAUGUUGACCCUCUAGCCGGCUGAAACAGGAUACGAUCAAACUUCAAUUGAUGCAUUUGUUUAAGUAUAAAUUAAGAGCGGACAAAUAAACAAGCACAAGAACAUGUGGCAAAGGUUGAGAUCAUUCACAAACUGAAGCAAUUUCAUCUAUUAAGUUCUAUAAACCACAUAAACAAUUUGACUUGGCACAAAAAUAAUUAUUGGAAAAGGUGAAAGAUAAAGGGGAUCUGCUGGAGCAGUAAUUUUUCACCAACUCUACCAAUAGGGUACAGCAGAUCCACAUUCCCCAAUAUAACUACAAUAUUGAAAGCCAAAGAGCAUGAGGAAGCAAUCUAAUAAUUUCAUCUAUUAAGUUCUACAGAUCACAUAAAUAAUUUGAGUUGGCACAAAAAUAAUUAUUGGAAAAGGUGAAAGAUAAAGGGGAUCUAGUGGAGCAGUAAUUUUUCACCAACUCUCGCAAUAGAGUACAGCAAAUCCACAUUCACCAAAGCAUGCAACUACAAUGUUGAAAGCCAAAGAGCAUGGGGAAGCAAUCUAAUAAUUGAAUUUAGCAAUACGGGGAGGAGACCACUAACCUGACGAACAUGAAGAGAAGGAGGUGCCGAAUGCCGCCUCGAUGGAGUAGCCCAGGCAUGCGUUGCUUCCUCAGUCUUCUUUGCACGU